GGGCGAAUGGUUUAGUGGUAUAAUACUCCCUUAGCACGAUCCAUACACCUGGUCAAUGCAUGGGAGUGGUCCGGGGUUCGAUUCCCCGUUUGUCCA